rnacentral:lncRNA from 1 species
GCAUGCUCUGACCUCUGGCAGAGGAGGAGUGAUGCUGUGGUGACUAGAAGACUAAGCUAAAAGUGAAGACAAGGAAGAAAAAGCAAAAGGGGAAUACAAAGAGAAGAUCCUGCCAGUCGUUGUACUUUAUGUAGAGUUUUAAUGUCAGGACUUAGUGGAAGGGCUGCUGUUUCUAGUAGUCUGUGAAUGCUGCCUGCACUGGAAGGUGGGGAUUAAGCCGCUUUCCCUCCUGACCAUAUUGUGAUGCCAGAAAUAAAUAUAAUUUUCCUUUGGAAAAGCUGCCAGUUAAGUUACUACAUGUCAGAAAGGGGAUGCUUGAGGAAGGGGAAGUAAAGGAAAGACAAAUCUCUGUGCUCAGAUGCACACAAAGAAUGCAUACAUCUCCUACCUUACAGUUUACUUAUGACUGGAUAUAAGACGGAAGAUUACCAGUGUAACCUUCAGAAAACUGGUUGCAAGAACAUUUCCCCAUUAAUGCUGCUAGUGGGAUUGUGAUUGCAUUAUGCUAGCCACAGCUGGCCAACUAGCAAAGCUGAACUGUAGACGAACUCUGUAUAAAACCAUUUUGCGUUGUCUGCUGCCUGAAAUUUGGGUCUUUGUAGGAAAGGCGUUGAAGACAGCUCAGCAGUCUAGGAUCUGGCUCUGCUUGAUGGCUGAAAUUCACCUGUCAGUGUUCAGACACCAGGGAAUCUGUCACAUGAGUAAAUUACAAUUAGAAUGAAAAGGGCUAAAACAGCAUCUCCUCAGACUUCCCACAGAUCCAUCCCUGCUUCUCGCCUGCUGUAGAUCUCUGACGAUCCACUUCUGUAAAGGAAGGGAGAGAGAGCUCCCUGCUCUGACUACAUCUUGAGUUUUCUUUUGAACUUUUAUUUUUUCUGCCUGUGGUUGAAUGUAAUUUCAUGCAUGUAACAUUUCAUUCAUGUACAUAAUGCUGAUGCGGGCCACACUGUUCUAAAUGCAACAGAAGCAAUUUGCUCAUCAUGUUGAUUUAUUGUAAAAGCUGGUGUCUUUUCUUGAUUAAGAUGUGUAUUUCUGUUUAUUUUUACUGCAAUGCACAAAGAUGUUCAAUGACAUUUCGACUGCUCAGAGCUGUAGCUGAGUCCAGAGAAGGGUGACUUGGAGCUCUGACAAAAGCUGAGAGGGAAGUCCCUCUCUGAUCUCUGUAGCUGUGGUUUACAAACCAGAUAGUAACUUUUGUGUACGGACAGCCUUUAACCACACUAAGACA